AAUGAUCCGUCCAUUGUUAAGUUAUCAACAGAAUCCAAUAAAAGUCCUCCACAUAAGCAAGCCCACACAAAAGUCAUAAAGUGUAAUACUCGAGCCUAAGGCCUAGGCCCACGAAUGGGCUAACUUUAGAGCUUCAAAUAGCAGCGUACAGGUAUGCCUCUUCUUUUCACCGAAAGUUGCUCCUUCCCGUCCGUUAUUCCUCAACUCUCAUCCUCGAAAUCUACUCUCACUUCCUCUACCAGUUAACUUCAUGCAGUUUUCUCACUUUCGCUUUCUCCUUACCACUGCUUCUUUUUUUUUGCUACAAUUUUUGGUGGAUUUUUUUAGUUUUGGCAUUUUCAAGAUCUGUUGAAUAGUGGUAAGAUCUUCUCACUCUCACACAAUACUUGCACCAUACUCUUUCUCUCUUUGUGGGUUUUCUCUAUUUCAAAAUCUUUUUUUUUUCUUGGUGUUCAUCUAUCCACCAGAAAAUCCUAGUAUUCGAUUUUAAGUAUAUUCAUCACUUAUUUUAGUUUUACUUAUUCUCAUCUUUGCUAAUUUUGCAUAGCCGUACGAUGUCCUCAUUUCUGCAAAUAUGGUAAUGGUCCUCUAUUAUCGUCUGAAUUUUUUAUCCGUCGAAGCGUGUAUUACUUACUUUUUAAUGCCGUUUCUAAGACUAUAGAUCUGUGUUCUAGUGCAUUUUUUUCAACACCCUAGACAACUGCAGGCUGUUUUAAUUUCACUCACGCGAAAUACUAGUAUGGUAACCUGAGUACCCUUUUUGCAAUUUUAUUUAUAUAAUUCAAAUUGGUGGUUUAUGAAUGCUGGAAAAAUUGGACGGUUUAUAAUUGAACUUCAGAGUUAUGUAAUAUGUUGAGUAGUUGGCUAUGAAGUUUGGGUGGUAGAUUGUUGGGUUGAAAUGAAGUUGUUUGUGUUAAUAGGUGGAUGUUUGGGUUGAUGAAUAUGAUUGUGUGGACUGUUUCAGGUGGCUAUUUGGACUAGUUAUUGUGGGGUUGUUUAUGGAUGGCUAGAUUUAUUUUAUGAUUAUUAUCGAGUUGAUCAUUUCGGGCUGGUUGUAGUUGAACUAUUGCAACUUGUGUGGAUGCUUGGGACUAAGUUAUUUGUUAAGGUUUAUUAAAUAAGCUGGUGGUAUGUUUGUUUGGGUUGAGAAUUGAUGUGGUGAACGUUAUUUGCUUUAGGUUGUGAUAUUGUUAAAGGUCAGACUUAGCGCUAAGAUUACACGUUGCAAAAGUUGAGGUAAGUAAGAUUUAUAUACAAGACUUUGCAUAGAAAAGAAAAAUGAAACAAAGUUGACUUUUAAAAUAUACAUAUUUUUUUUUAAAGAAAUCUGAAAAAGCAAUCUCAAUUAUUUGUUUCGACAUUACUCAUGAACUCGAUAUAAAGGAGAAAAUACUUUUAUCAUGAAUGGUGUAGACAUGAGCUUAUUUUUGCAUAUUAUUUCUGAAUUUUGCAAAAGGAACGAAAACAAGAUUAUUAAAGUUUUGUUAUGGUUAAGGUGAAAAUAUUUUGAUUUUGUUCUGUUAAAUAUAUGAAAUAAUCUGAAGCGACUUAGUAUUUUGUUCUGAUAUGAUGUGUAAGCUUAAAAACUUUGGCAUGAGUUUUUGAUUUUGCAUCUGAAUAUGAUCUAUUUUCAGUGAUGUCUGUUUUUUUUCUGUUGAGGCUCCACCAUGGGUAUAAUAGUGGCAUACGGCCCCCCAUGAGUAUAAUAGUGGCAUACGAUCUUGUCGUGGAUAUAAUAGUAGCAUACGGCUUAGCCACAAGUAUAAUGAUGGUUUAUAGCCCGACCACAGGAGUAAAACAUGGUAUACGGCCCAGUCACGGGUAUAAUGGUGGUUUAUAACCUUACCACGAGGUGAAAUAUGGUAUGCAACCCAGCUACGAGUAUAAUGGUGGUUUAUAACCCUACCAAUAGGGUUAAAUAUGGUAUGUGUCUCGAUAUGAUACCUCGAUGCAAUAUGAAGAUGAUGUUUUAGUUUACGAUGUGCCAACAAAUUUAUUUUUAGAAUAAGAAAGUUUUACUAAAAGAAAAAUAAGUUUUACUAAAAACUUAGCUAUGUUAUUUGUAAUAUGUUUUAUUCGUGUAUCCUGAAAGUAAACUGUUUAUAAUUAUGCAUUUUGAAAGUAAAAGUUUUGUUAUGCAUUCUGAUAUUUGUAAAUGCUCAUAUUUGCAUAUUAAUAUAGUUUCUUUGCUUACUGAGUUGUUGAUAAUUCAACCCUUAUCUCCAUAAUAUUUUUCAGAUGAUUUUGAUGAUACAAUUAAGGAUCAAUAAUAGAGUUUGUGGUAUGAAUAGUCGAGGGUUGUGGUUGAGUACCUUGGAGUACUAGUGCUGUUGGAAUAUUUAUUUAUUAAUUAAUUUGAUUUCAAUAUAUUUUGAUGAUUAUGAAGACUUAUGUAUUAAUUUAGUUCAUUAUGUUAAUAAAGACAUGUGGAGAAGUUGAUUUUUUCUA